AUGUGGACACAGGAUAUCACCAAGGCCAUCGGCCCCUCUGAGGUGUCCCCAGAGCUGCUGCAGCCCCUGGUGACUGUAGUGGCCACCUUGGGCAAGUUGGGGGCCAUCCCUGGUGACAUCUCCCUGCAAGGGAACAUGGGCUCACUGCGGGCCAGGCUGCUGACCUUCAGCUCUGGUGUGCGCAGAGCCAUGGUGCACCCAGAUGGUGAUGCCACCCGCCUCCGACGCGCCCUGGGGGCAUCCAAGGAACAGCCCGGUGCCCCUACAGCCAUCACUGACUCUUGGCAGAAGGCAGUGAUCACAGUGAAGGACAUCUGGGCUGAGCUGCGGGAGGAUGCUGCAUGCCUGAGGGAUGCCUGUGGGAAUGUGGCCACUGCCAAGACCGCCACUGAGGCCACCAAGGGCCACUUGGUGGAAGCGAUGACACGGGAGGACAAAGCACACAAAGGGUUGAUAGCUGCCACCAGAGUGGUGCCUUUGUCCUCAGAGGUGGCUGAGGUCACAGAGGUGGUGGCAGCCCAUGAUAUGCGGGUGGCAGAGGCCAGGGAAGGGCUGCAGGCAGCCACCAAGGCUACCGAGGAGGUGGCAGCGGCGGUGGUGGCAGCAGUGGCAGCCAAGGAGAGGGGACAACAUGCAGCAGUGGCCCAUGGGCUCCUGGUGCAGUUGGUAGCCGCCUGUAUGGGGGCCUAUAACUACUAUAGUCAUGUGGAGCACUAUCUCAAGGACAUCAAGGCCAUGGUGGGUGUCACUACUGGAGAUGAUGGCCCUGAUGUCCCCAAGGCCACUAAGGGGGACAUAGGUAUCCCCAAGGAGCUAGCAGAGAUAGUGGUGGUGGCCGAGGCGCUGUGGGAUGCCAGCGCCCGCCUGACCCAGGAACACCUCUUGGGGACACUGCGGGGUGUUCGGAGCCUGCUGGCCACCUUCAGUGUCACUGAGGCCACCAAGGUCACCCAGCGCUGCCAAGAGGCCACCAACGCCCUCCCUGGGCUGCUGCCACCGGGGCUGUGCUAG
rnacentral:lncRNA from 1 species